rnacentral:lncRNA from 1 species
CAGACUUUGCGGGCGGCCACCGUGUGCCAAAAAUAGGGCACGGGCACAGCCGCACCCAAAAAUCAGCCCCCGAAAGUAGGGGUGCCAAGACCCCCCAGCGGAAAAAUGGCCAAAAAACGGGUGGGCUAUUGCCUUGGUGGGGGGCGCGGGCGAAGUUCGUCCGCCGGACUCGGAAUGGCCCCAGACUUUGCGGGCGGCCUCCGUGCGUCAAAAAUAGGCCACGGGCACAGCCGAGCCCAAAAUCAGCCCCCGAAGGUCGGGGUGCCAAGACCCCCCAGCAAGGCUAUAUGGCCAAAAAACGGGUGGGCUAUAGCCUUGGUGGGGGGCGCGGGCGAAGUUCGUCCGCCGGACUCGGAAUGGCCGCAGACUUUGCAGGCGGUCUCCGUGCGCCAAAAAUAGGCCACGGGCACAGCCGCGCCCAAAAAUAAGCCCCCGAAGGUCGGGGUGCCAAGACCCCCCAGCAAGGCUAUAUGGCCAAAAAACGGGUGGGCUAUAGCCUUGGUGGGGGGCUUGGGCGAAGUUCGUCCGCCGGACUCGGAAUGGCCCCAGACUUUGCGGGCGGCCGCCGUGCGCCAAAAAUAGGCCACGGGCACAGCCGCGCCCAAAAAUCAGCCCCCGAAGGUCGGGGUGCCAAGACCCCCCAGCAAGGCUAUAUGGCCAAAAAACGGGUGGGCUAGAGCCUUGGUGGGGGUGUGGGCGAAGUUCAUCCGCCGGACUCGGAAUGGCCCCAGACUUUGCGUGUGGCCUCCGUGUGCCCAAAAUAGGCUACGGGCACAGCCGCGCCCAAAAAUCAGCCCCCGAAGGUCGGGGUGCCAAGACCCCCCAGCAAGGGUAUAUGGCCAAAAAACGGGUGGGCUAUAGCCUUGGUGGGGGGCGUGGGCGAAGUUCUUCCGCCGGACUCGGAAUGGCCCCAGACUUUGCGGCCGGCUUCCGUGUGCCAAAAAUAGGCCACGGGCACAGUCGCGCCCAAAAAUCGGCCCCCGAAGGUCGGGGUGCCAAGACCCCCCAGCGGAAAAAUGGCCAAAAAACAGGUGGGCUAUAGCCUUGGCGGGGGGCGGGGGCGAAUUUCGUCCGCCGGACUCGGAAUGGCCCCAGACUUUGCUGGCGGCCUCCAUGUGCCAAAAGUAGGCCACGGGCAUAGCCGCGCCCCAAAAUCAGCCCCCGAAGGUCGGGGUGCCAAGACCCCCCAGCAAGGCUAUAUGGCCAAAAAACGGGUGGGCUAUAGC